rnacentral:rRNA from 1 species
AAAGCGUGCGCAGGCGGUUUUGUAAGUCAGAUGUGAAAUCCCCGAGCUUAACUUGGGAACUGCGUUUGAAACUACAAGACUAGAGUGUGUCAGAGGGGGGUAGAAUUCCACGUGUAGCAGUGAAAUGCGUAGAGAUGUGGAGGAAUAUCAAUGGCGAAGGCAGCCCCCUGGGAUAACACUGACGCUCAUGCACGAAAGCGUGGGGAGCAAACAGGAUUAGAUACCCCGGU